CGAACCGUAUAAUAAUAAUGGUAUCGCAGCUCGCUCGGCACAGCGUUCGCCGGUGUCAAUUUGUUUCCACGGCGGUUUUGGCUCGGUUCCUAAUAACUCCCCGUAUACAUGUCCGCCCGUAAUGACUACGCCGUCGUACCUACACGCGCGGAAACCGAAUGCGACGGCGACGGGGACGGCGGAAUAUUAUUACGGCGGGAGCCCGGCCAAAUGAAAUAAUAACGCGACGGCGUUCGCGAGGUCCGAUCGGAGAACAAAACGAAAAAAAAAAAAACGAAAAUUAUUAUCCGCGGCGUUUUUUUUCUCCAAAGGUCGUUAUUGCGCCGAUGCAAGUUAAUUUCCGCCUCCCC